AACGGGUGAGUAAUAUAGUCGGAACGUGCCCAGUCGGUGGGGAUAACGUAGCGAAAGUUACGCUAAUACCGCAUACGAUCUAAGGAUGAAAGCGGGGGAUCGCAAGACCUCGCGCGAUUGGAGCGGCCGAUAUCAGAUUAGGUAGUUGGUGAGGUAAAGGCUCACCAAGCCAACGAUCUGUAGCUGGUCUGAGAGGACGACCAGCCACACUGGAACUGAGACACGGUCCAGACUCCUACGGGAGGCAGCAGUGGGGAAUUUUGGACAAUGGACGCAAGUCUGAUCCAGCCAUUCCGCGUGCAGGAUGAAGGCCCUCGGGUUGUAAACUGCUUUUGUACGGAACGAAAAGGUUUGUCUUAAUACGAUGAGCUCAUGACGGUACCGUAAGAAUAAGCACCGGCUAACUACGUG
rnacentral:rRNA from 1 species